rfam:Salmo salar isolate Sally breed double haploid chromosome ssa20, whole genome shotgun sequence.
UAGCUCAGUUGGUAGAGCAUGGUGUUUGCAACCUAAGGGUUGUGGGUUCGAUUCCCAC